rnacentral:rRNA from 1 species
UGAGCCAAGUUUAGGGUUUUCUCAAAACCCAAGCAGUAUUGAACUGAAGAGUUUGAUCAUGGCUCAGAUUGAACGCUGGCGGCAGGCCUAACACAUGCAAGUCGAGCGGAUGAUGGGAGCUUGCUCCCGGAUUCAGCGGCGGACGGGUGAGUAAUGCCUAGGAAUCUGCCUGGUAGUGGGGGACAACGUUU